rfam:Gossypium raimondii Chr04_contig_1090, whole genome shotgun sequence.
AAUAGGAGCAUGACAAAAUCAGAUUUUUCUUCCUGACUUUCAACUUUUUUUCUCUUGAAAAAAAUUCAAAUCCAACGAAAUACUAAAAAUCAGGAAGAAAAAUCUGAUUUGUCGUGUUUCUAUU